UAUAUUGGUGAAAUGUAAAUUGGUUGAACGGAAGUCUUUGUCUACGCGGAUCUACACGAAGAUUUAGUUACGAGAAAAGAAAAUGGUGGAAGGCACUUGCCAUGAUAACAGAGCUAUGGAAUAAAAUCUGCAGACAAAGACAACACUCUUGAAGAGAAAGAUGGAAUUAUUGAGAAGGUCACGACAUUGUCGUCCAUUCAUUUGUGAUACCUGUGGACAAGGGUUUAAACAUAAUCACCAUAUGAAGGAACACAUGAGGAUUCAUACGGGAGAAAAGCCAUACCAAUGCAAACACUGUUUCAAACGUUUCAGUCACUCUGGCUCAUUCAGUCAACACAAAAAUAAUACUUGUAUACAGUCAAGAA